UGCACUUCCUUAUACAUUUUGUCAAUGUGAACUUCCUUCAAGGCAGUGGGUUAGUUUAACUUUCCAGACCGUAUAUUCUUUUAAUCAUUCCUAAUUUGAUUGAGCACAAUGAAGGAGAAAAUGGUAUUCUUUAUUUUUUUUUGUUCAUUCGGGCUGUCACUGCCUCAACAGGGUCUGUGGUGGUUUGCCCCAAUGAUCAAGUACAAACAUCAGUCAGUGGGUCUGUGAUCCUGCAGUGCCACCUAGUUUUCCCAGUAAAUGUGAAAAACAUGACAGUGGAGUGGAGUCACAGGCACUUUAAUGACACUGUUCUUCUGUAUCAAAACAAAAAGGACAACCUUCGAGAGCAGAACAACACCUUUACAAACAGAACGUAUGUCUACUAUCAGGGUCUGAGAAAAGGAGACCUGUCACUGUUGCUGUUCCCCGUACAGCUGUCUGACAGCGGAACAUACAGAUGUUCCUUUCAAAAUGAAAAACUGCAGAAAAGCUGUUAUGUUAACCGUCACUGUUACAGAAAACAAAUACUACGAGUAUCGGACAAGUAUGGAUUGGAAAACUAAAACUUUGAUCAUUUGGGGGGCUGCCAUUGCUGCCGUCAUCCUUUUUCUAAUUUUUGUAAAAGAGUGUUGGAAGAAAAAUGGACCACGACGUGAGUCAACAUUUAGAUUCCCAUGCUUAGUCCGAAACAUUGUGUGAAACACAUCCUCUGUUUAGAGUCUUAGUGUAUGUUGUGUUUUGUUUUUUGUCGCACUAUUCUAGUCAAUCGCUUGCUGCAGAGCAUCAACCAAGACGUUAAAACUGGCUAAACCUGAAGAAUUGAAGAAUUGAAGAAUUUUUAAUAACUGGUUGAACCACAUUUGGCAACGAGAACCUUAACUGAACUCUUCCUGUAGGAUUAAACCUGUGUCUGAAUGAGUCUUUUGAGGUCUAUCUAUAAUACAUUUACAGUACUUAGAUUUCAGAGUCAUUGUCCUGCAUCGCUCAGCUUCUUUUGAGCUUCAUUUAGGAACUUCAUCAUCUAGUCCAUAUCAUUUUUAAAGAUGCCUAAAAAGAUUACUCUGGAAUAGCCAUGAUGAUUGGGCCCUCAAGAACAACUGAAUUAACAACAGGCAUAAUUCUGUGGUGGAAAUCAUUGCAUACAUGUUCUUGUCCUUCUCAACAUGCAGUCCAAGUACUUUGACAUCAAUACUUAACUCAAAUGGUCAAAGGUCACAAAGCCCUGAUUACAACCCUGUUUCUUCUUCCUCAGGUCUCCUGAAGUGAAACAGAGACAAAACAGAAAAGGUCUGAACAGUAAACUCAUUUAAAUUUUGUAGAAUUUGUAUGAACUUUAAUGUCUUAACAAGGAAAUUUAGACAAAAUUGAGCUAUUGUUGGAGAUUUAGUUGUUGAACUUUGAUUACCUCUAGCUUGAACUUUAAAAAAUAAAAAAUCUGUCUAACUAUAUCAUCUCUAUCUAUUGGUGAUUAUGGUAUGAAAUGUGCUUUUAGCCUUUAUUUCUGUAGCUACUGCAAGAAAGAACAAGUAGAACAAACAAUAUAUGUUGAUGGAGAAGGACACAAAUUGACUCCACCCAAGUGUGUUGGCAGCCAAAAAUACAAGCUGCAUGAGUCAUAAAACAUCCCACAGCCCGGAUUGCUUUCUUGUGAGCUAACAUCAUUUACAUUUACAUUUACAUUUACAUUUAGUAAUCUAGCAGACACUUUUAUCCAAAGUGACUUACAAGUGGGGAACAACAUCCUCAAGUCUGUGUUUUCUUUUUAUUUAAAAGAUAAGUGUUUUGCACAAAAAAUUAAAAAGCCUUUUAUUCCACAAUUGUGUCUGUAUUCUUUUUCAUCUUCUGUGUGGUUACUUGCUUCUCUUUCCCCUAUGAAAACAUGCUAAAUACAUCUUAGUGGACUCUUCCAUGCAUUUUCUUAAGUCAUCUGUUAUUUUUGAUGGAAUAUGAAAAUAUCCACCCUUUGUAACACAAUACACAAUGCCCGUUUUCUUUUUGUUCCACCCAAAUAAAGAUGAG
ensembl:lncRNA